CUUCAUAGUUGUAAGUUAAGUUUAAAUUUUUAAAAAUCUAAUUCACCCUCCGCUCUUGGGUUGCAUAGCUGGGCAACACUUUUCUUUUGGCAUGAGCUUACAACGACAGGAAGUAGCUCCCUCAGACAAUCAAAAUCAAGCAUGUAGGAAUAGGAGGAAAAACUCAUCCUAACAUAAGCAAAGUCAAAGGCCCGGUUAUUUGAAGAUCGGAUGGGGGGAGAGGCCCUCGCAACGCCCUUAUGCGCCCCCACAGCCAUGAUAGGAAUAGGAGAAAAACCUCGUCCUAACAUGAGCGAAGU
rnacentral:lncRNA from 1 species